rnacentral:piRNA from 1 species
CUGAGAAACCUGUCAAAAGACA